rnacentral:lncRNA from 1 species
GACUUCAGCAAUACAUAAAAUGAUUUAGUUACUAGUUAUUAGAGAUAACAAGUUUUUGUUUUUUAAGAAGUCUUUGUUAAUUAAGUUUCUUACAGUCACUAAACUACAUAUUGUUAUAAGAUCAAUCUAGUUAUGUGACCAGUUAUAACAAUUAAAUGGAAUCAACACUCCUGUUAUUGGGGGGAAAAAAAGAAAAAAAAAUCAGUUAAUUCAAUGAGAGCCUAACUCAUGCCACCUAGAGGAGAAAAGCGGUAUGUCUCACAACUUUCUAUUUGUGGAGAAAACUGACAUGCUCGAUUUCCCUGGAUAUUUUCAUCACGGCCUAUUAAACAAUCAUACAGUGUCAUUGGGCUAUAAUUUAAAAAGAAAACUGCAAUUAAGCUUCACCUCAAUAAUAUUUUCCAUUGACUUCUUUUCUAGAGGAAAAAUUAUAAAGUUUUAGUUACCUGUUAUCUCCUAGCCAAUAAUAUCCUAAAAUCUACUCUGAAAGCAGUUUGAAUAUCUAAAUUCUUAACAGCAAAAAUGUCAGCCCUUACACUUUCAUAAGCCAUCUAAUAUUAUGAAGUAUAACAACCAGAGUUAUGGGCAACAUAUCAUAUUUUAAUAUAAAAGGAGCUACAGACCAGGGAACUAAUCCACUCCAAUAGUUAAGGUGGUUCCAUUUCUGCAGCAUCCAGAUAAUCAGAUAGUAAAGUUUCAGUUGUCAGACAUACUCAAACAAGAUUUAUAAUAAAUUCUCCA